CAGAGGUCCCAAGCGUUGUUCGGAUUCACUGGGCGUAAAGGGUGCGUAGGUGGCGAGGUAAGUCGGAUGUGAAAGCUCGGAGCUCAACUCCGAAAUGGCAUUGGAAACUACCUUGCUCGAGGGUUGGAAGGGGGACUGGAAUGCUUGGUGUAGCAGUGAAAUGCGUAGAUAUCAAGCGGAACACCAGUGGCGAAGGCGAGUCCCUGGACAACUCCUGACACUGAGGCACGAAAGCUAGGGGAGCAAACAGGAUUAGAUACCCUGGUAGUCCUAGCCGUAAACGGUGCAUGUUUGCUGUAAAAGGAAUCGACCCCUUUUGUGGCGUAGCCAACGCGUUAAACAUGCCGCCUGGGAAGUACGGUCGCAAGAUUAA
rnacentral:rRNA from 1 species